UACGUAGGGUGCAAGCGUUGUCCGGAAUUAUUGGGCGUAAAGAGCUCGUAGGCGGUUUGUCGCGUCGAAUGUGAAAACCCGGGGCUCAACCCCGGGCCUGCAUUCGAUACGGGCAGACUAGAGUUCGGUAGGGGAGUCUGGAAUUCCUGGUGUAGCAGUGAAAUGCGUAGAUAUCAGGAGGAACACCGAUGGCGAAGGCAGGUCUCUGGGCUGACACUGACGCUCAUGCACGAAAGCGUGGGGAGCAAACAGG
rnacentral:rRNA from 1 species